rnacentral:tRNA from 1 species
AUUCAAAUAGCUUAUAUUUAGAGCAUAAUAUUGAAGAUAUUAGAGAGAUUAUUUAAUCUUUGGAUA